UUCAUCACGAGCAGCGGAGGGACUGGCCCAAUGAAGCUGCGGCAACCCCUCGAAAGAGAACCGGUGCCAAUUCCAGCGGAGAUAUCCGAAAGAUGAU
rnacentral:ncRNA from 1 species